rnacentral:rRNA from 1 species
AGUGAACGCUGGCGGUAGGCCUAACACAUGCAAGUCGAACGGCAGCACAGUAAGAGCUUGCUCUUACGGGUGGCGAGUGGCGGACGGGUGAGGAAUACAUCGGAAUCUACUUUUUCGUGGGGGAUAACGUAGGGAAACUUACGCUAAUACCGCAUACGACCUACGGGUGAAAGCAGGGGAUCUUCGGACCUUGCGCGAUUGAAUGAGCCAAUGUCGGAUUAGCUAGUUGGCGGGGUAAAGGCCCACCAAGGCGACGAUCCGUAGCUGGUCUGAGAGGAUGAUCAGCCACACUGGAACUGAGACACGGUCCAGACUCCUACGGGAGGCAGCAGUGGGGAAUAUUGGACAAUGGGCGCAAGCCUGAUCCAGCCAUACCGCGUGGGUGAAGAAGGCCUUCGGGUUGUAAAGCCCUUUUGUUGGGAAAGAAAAGCAGCAGGUUAAUACCCCGCUGUUCUGACGGUACCCAAAGAGUAAGCACCGGCUAACUUCGUG